rnacentral:rRNA from 1 species
UGACCUCGGAUCAGGUAGGGAUACCCGCUGGACUUAAGCAUAUCAAUAAGCGGGAGGAAAAAGAAACCAACAGGGAUUGCCCUAGUAACGGCGAGUGAAGCGGCAACAGCUCAAAUUUGAAAGCUAGCCUUCGGGUUCGCAUUGUAAUUUGUAGAGGAUGAUUUGGGGGAA